rnacentral:rRNA from 1 species
UACGUAGGGGGCAAGCGUUGUCCGGAAUUAUUGGGCGUAAAGCGCACGUAGGCGGUCCUUUAAGUCUGAUGUGAAAGCCCACGGCUUAACCGUGGAGGGUCAUUGGAAACUGGAGGACUUGAGUGCAGAAGAGGAGAGUGGAAUUCCACGUGGAGCGGUGAAAUGCGUAGAGAUGUGGAGGAACACCAGUGGCGAAGGCGACUCUCUGGUCUGUAACUGACGCUGAGGUGCGAAAGCGUGGGUAGCGAACAGG